CAGGAAAUAGUAUAGUGGUUAACACGCCUGUUUUGGGAAUAGGUAACGCUAGUUCGAGUCUGGCUUUCCUGA
rnacentral:tRNA from 2 species